GCCUGCCCAGUGAUAAUUAAACGGCCGCGGUAUCCUAACCGUGCAAAGGUAGCAUAAUCAUUUGUCUAUUAAUUGUAGACCCGUAUGAAAGGCAAAAUGAGGGUCCAACUGUCUCUUAUAAUACAUCAAUUAAACUGAUCUUCUAGUACAAAAGCUAGAAUACUAACAUAAGACCAGAAGACCCUGUGAAGCUUUAACUAAACUAUUAAACCACUUAAUAACUACUUUCGGUUGGGGCGACCUUGGAAUAAAAAAGAACUUCCAAAUAUCAACAUCACAUUAAAGGCAGACAAGCCCACAUAAGACCCAGCAUAGCUGACAAUUGAACCAAGUUACUCCAGGGAUAACAGCGCUAUCUUCUUCAAGAGCCCAUAUCAAAAAGAAGGUUUACGACCUCGAUGUUGGAUCAGGACAUCCUAGCAAUGCAACCGUUACUAAGGGUUCGUUUGUUCAACGAUUAAUAGUCCUACGUGAUCU
rnacentral:rRNA from 1 species